UACGGGGGGGGCAAGCGUUGUUCGGAAUUACUGGGCGUAAAGGGCUCGUAGGCGGCCAACUAAGUCAGACGUGAAAUCCCUCGGCUUAACCGGGGAACUGCGUCUGAUACUGGAUGGCUCGAGUUUGGGAGAGGGAUGCGGAAUUCCAGGUGUAGCGGUGAAAUGCGUAGAUAUCUGGAGGAACACCCAUGGCGAAGGCAGCUCUCUGGCCUAUAACUGACGCUGAGGUGCGAAAGCGUGGGGAGCAAACGGG
rnacentral:rRNA from 1 species